AAGUAAGAAACAAGUAGUGUAACUAAUUUCGACCUAGUAGAAGAUAUUUAAAUAUCCUUACUUG
rnacentral:tRNA from 1 species